rnacentral:ncRNA from 1 species
UGAGCGGGGAAGUUAAAGCUGCUUUUGGGUGAAAUGACAGUCCUCGAUGUUAGUUGAGGACCCCCAUAAGCUGCAACGGAAUCGAAAAGUUAAAGAAAAAAGCUCUCAAAAGCAAAUGCUCUCCCCUCCACCCUCCACGCAUCCUGAGGCCCGCUGCCUAAGGGCCUAGGCUUGGGGGGUACGGGCGGCCCUGCUAGAGGCUGCAGCAUGCGUUGCUGCAGCAACUGCGAAGGCAUUUUAGUGGGGCAUUACUGACACUGAGAUACGAGAGAUACGAAAGUUAAGAUAGCGAAUGGGAUUAGAUACCCCAGUAGUCUUAACUGUAAACGAUGGAUACUCGGAAUCAAAUAUAAUAAAUAUUUUAUUCCUUAGCUAACGCGCUGAGUAUCCCGCCUGAGUAGUACGCUCGCAAGAGUAAAACCCAAGGGAAUUGACGGGGGGAGCAGGGCUUUCUCCACCUGGAUGCACAAACAGUACGCCUUUGCUGCAUGCUGCAGCAUUGUAAACUAUAGUGUACACUGUCUUUAAAUGCUCACUUGA